rnacentral:piRNA from 1 species
UGUUAGAAUUUAUCCAGAGUC